GACGAACGCUGGCGGCGUGCUUAACACAUGCAAGUCGAACGGAAAGGCCCUGCUCUUGUGGGGUGCUCGAGUGGCGAACGGGUGAGUAACACGUGAGUAACCUGCCCUUGUCUUUGGGAUAACUUCAGGAAACUGGGGCUAAUACCGGAUAGGAGCUCCUGCUGCAUGGUGGGGGUUGGAAAGUUUCGGCGGUUGGGGAUGGACUCGCGGCUUAUCAGCUUGUUGGUGGGGUAGUGGCUUACCAAGGCUUUGACGGGUAGCCGGCCUGAGAGGGUGACCGGCCACAUUAGGACUGAGGUACGGCGCAGAAUGCUACGUGAGGCAGCGGUGGAGAAUAUUACGCAAUGGGCGGGAGCCUGAUACGGCGACGCCGCGUGCGGGAUGACGGCCUACGGGUUGUGAACCGAUUUCGCCUGUGCCGAGGCGGGAGUGACGGUAAUGGGUAAAAAAGCACCGGCUAACUACGUG
rnacentral:rRNA from 1 species